rnacentral:pre_miRNA from 1 species
AAAAUGGUGAGAGGGUUGAGGGGCGUUCCGGACAGGGCUGUGGGGCGCCCUUGGGGCCCGUUCCACA